rnacentral:rRNA from 1 species
UUGGAGGGCAAGUCUGGUGCCAGCAGCCGCGGUAAUUCCAGCUCCAAUAGCGUAUAUUAAAGUUGUUGCAGUUAAAAAGCUCGUAGUUGAAUUUUAGACCUGGCCGGGCGGUCCGUCUUUGGCGAGUACUGUUCUGUGUCGGGCCUUUCCUUCUGGUUAACCGGCGUGCUCUUCAUUGAGUGCGCCGUGCGAGCCAGGACCAUUACCUUGAAAAAAUUAGAGUGUUUAAAGCGGGCAUUUGCUUGAAUAGAUUAGCAUUGAAUAAUAGAAUAGGACGUUGUGAUUCUAUUUUGUUGGUUUCUAGGACCACCGUAAUGAUUAAUAGGGAUAGUUGGGGGCAUUAGUAUUCAAUUGUCAGAGGUGAAAUUCUUGGAUUUAUUGAAGACUAACUACUGCGAAAGCAUUUGCCAAGGAUGUUUUCAUUAAUCAAGAACGAAAGUUAGGGGAUCGAAGACGAUCAGAUACCGUCGUAGUCUUAACCAUAAACUAUGCCGACUAGGGAUCGGAUGAUGUUAAUUUUUUAAUGACUCAUUCGGCGCCUUACGGGAAAC